GUUUGAAGUCUGCCGGCUCCUUUGCGUAUACAGCAUCAGAGAUGGCAGAAAAUAUACAACUGUAAGAACACCGUGGUAACAUGCACCAAGUUUUAAGAUGAUCUGAUGCAAAUACGGCUUUGUAUUGACGUUCUGUUCGUUCGGCAUGAGAUUAACUAGCCGAGAAGGACUCGUAAAUGAGUACAUUAAUUUCUUCGGAGAUUGCUCCGUUACAUGCGAAUAUAAUCCGUGCUAAGUUUGAUUUUGAUCGGUCAUUGUUUCGUGAUUAAUUUCGGGGAAUGUUUACUUUAGUAUCCCAUUUUGAAGAGGUUUUGCGCAAAGGGAGAGGGCGCUGGGGGCUUGCUACUCCCCUCAUUUGAAAGGUAAUGAAUGGAGCUUUUGAAUAAUAGCACCCUUCCUCCCCUAGGACCACGGGGGCUCUAGGGCAGCCUCCUGAAAAUGGUGUAAAAUCGUAGUUUUUCCAUACAAUUUUCACUAAUUAUUA